AUACGGAGGAUCCGAGCGUUAUCCGGAUUUAUUGGGUUUAAAGGGUGCGUAGGCGGCCAUUUAAGUCAGCGGUUAAAUCGUGGGGCUCAACCCCAUUCUGCCGUUGAUACUGGGUGGCUUGAUUGCGGUCGAGGUUGGCGGAAUUCGUUGUGUAGCGGUGAAAUGCAUAGAUAUGACGAAGAACACCGAUUGCGUAGGCAGCUGACCAGAUCGCAAAUGACGCUCAUGCACGAAAGUGCGGGGAUCGAACAGGAUUAGAUACCCUGGUAGUCCGCACAGUAAACGAUGAAUACUUGUUUUCGGCGAUAUAAUGUCGGAGGCAAAGCGAAAGCGAUAAGUAUUCCACCUGGGGAGUACGCCGGCAACGGUGAAACUCAAAGGAAUUGACGGGG
rnacentral:rRNA from 1 species